rnacentral:misc_RNA from 1 species
AGGGAAACCCAUCCAACAUUGAAGAAGACUACCUUGUUCAGCGAUCCGUCACUUGAUCCUCUCCAGGGCACCUAACAUAUUUUUUUUGAACCUACAUUUUCAGGUAUUUGAUCUUAUUGGAAUCGAUAAGAUUUUCCCUCAAUGCAUGGGAUAUGUAUACCCUAAUCGAUUUAUCUACUAUCAAAGUCAAGGGUUGAAGUCCCUACUCUAUUUUUCUCACUCAGAGCCAAGGGUUUGAAGUCCCUACUCUAUUUCUUCCAUUUUUCUCCUCUAUUUCACAAGAAAAGAAACAAACUCAAGGAAAAAAAAAAAUUUAAAUAAACGAAAAGACGGAUUUUUUUAAAAAGAGAGAUAACUCAACUUAACUUAACUCAAC